GCGCGAGUGGUGAAAUUGGCAGACACGCAGGAUUUAGGUUCCUGUGCCUUCGGGCGUGAGGGUUCAAGUCCCUCCUUGCGCACCA
rnacentral:tRNA from 1 species